rnacentral:rRNA from 1 species
AGACUAAGCCAUGCAUGUGCAAGUAUAAACGCUUGAACCGUGAGACUGCGAAUGGCUCAUUAAAUCAGUUAUAGUUUAUUUGAUGGUGUUCUCCACGUGGAUAACCGUGGUAAUUCUAGAGCUAAUACAUGCAGAAGGUCCCGACUAGUUUCGGAAGGGACGUAUUUAUUAGAUCCAAAACCAAUGCGGGUGCCGUGGCCUCGGUUGCGUCCCCGGUCACUUGGUGAUUCAUAGUAACUGCUCGAAUCGCUUGGCCUCCGUGCCGGCGAUGGUUCAUUCAAGUUUCUGCCCUAUCAACUUUCGAUGGUAGGGUAUUGGCCUACCAUGGUCGCAACGGGUGACGGAGAAUUAGGGUUCGAUUCCGGAGAGGGAGCCUGAGAAACGGCUACCACAUCCAAGGAAGGCAGCAGGCGCGCAAAUUACCCAAUCCCGACUCGGGGAGGUAGUGACAAUAAAUAACAAUGCCGGUCCCUAUAGUGGUCCGGCAAUUGGAAUGAGUACAAUCCAAACCCCUUAACGAGGAACAAUUGGAGGGCAAGUCUGGUGCCAGCAGCCGCGGUAAUUCCAGCUCCAAUAGCGUAUAUUAAAGUUGUUGCAGUUAAAAAGCUCGUAGUUGGAUUUCGGGGCCCCGGACGUCUGCUGCGUUCCCCGCUCGACUUGUCUUGUGGGUGCGUGGUGGCCGUUGGUCUCUGAGUCGGAUCGGUCCGCCGAGAGGCGAGCACUGACCGACGGCCCCUGUUAUCUCUCGGGUUGCCCGCCUGCUCUUCAUUGUGGCGGACGGGGAGUUCGGGACGUUUACUUUGAACAAAUUAGAGUGUUCCAAGCAGGCCGGUUGCUUUGAAUACAUUAGCAUGGAAUAAUGGAAUAGGGCUGCGCGACUCGUUGCCCUCGGGUGGCGGGUCCUCGUGUCCUAUUUUGUUGGUUUUCGGGACCGCAGUCAUGGUCGAGAGGGACAGUUGGGGGCAUUCGUAUUCAGUUGUCAGAGGUGAAAUUCUCGGAUUUACGGAAGACGAACGACUGCGAAAGCAUUUGCCAAGGAUGUUUUCAUUAAUCAAGA